CGACGAGGCAGUUCCGGUCGGCGCAGGCGGCCCCCUCCCGCUCGGAAGGUGAGUGGGCGCCGGUCCGCCGGGUCCGCCCUGCCCGCGACGUCCCGCGCGGUGACUGCGGCCGUCGCUGCACGCGGCCCCAAGGCGGCGCGGGGAGCAGCCCGGGUCGGGCGCGGGAGGAGGACGGGGCCAGCGCAGGCCACGCCCGCUGCCCGCGGCGCCCGCUGCCCGCUCCUGCAGAAGGCGCGUUGCUGCAGACCUCCCGCGCCGCAGUGUGGAAGAAAAACGCUCUCACGCUGGACGCGAGCCGUUCGUGCAAACCAAGUUAAGGAACAGUGUUUGGCCCCAGAUGAGUCUCGGGGUGUGGCGGGCAGGCCGGACUUGGGGGUUGCCCCCUGCGGCCUGCGACUCUGCAGGGCGGGAGGAAGAGCUUCCUGGGAUCUAAUCUAGCACCUCCGUGCCCCAGCAGGCAUGUUCAGCUUUUCACCCCCCCAGGGCCAGGAGCCCCCGGAUAUGGUACAGGAGGUUCCCCUGGAAGUGUCAGCAUGCUCUUAUGGUGGGUGAAGCCUCGGGUUGGAAGGACAUUCAGGAUCUUUUGCUGAAGAACUUGGGGUCAGUCACUGCAGGUCUGCUGAUGCUGUCCAGGUGACGUCCUAAUAGGAUUUCACAUUGAACAAAACCUCCCAGGUCCUUGAAUCGCCUCCUACCACAAGCUGGGCACCUCUCCACUUGCCCUUACCUCUUGGCAUCCUUGUGUUCCUGAAUGAGGAACACUGUGUCAUAUGGGGCUGCUUAGGACCUGGUGUGUUGUCCCCUCUCCCCACAGACUUCUCCACCACCCUCAUCUGCCUUGAUUUUCAUUUUCUUCAGGUCCCAGGUGCACACACCUUCAGGAAGUCUCUGGAAGAUGGCGGCUCUAGGAGCUGUUGAGGAAGUUCUUCCUGUCCCAUCUCCCAUCAGUCUGUCAUCAUCAGGGACACCUGGAGCCCGGCACCACACAGCACAGCUUCACCUCCACAGUCAUCCACACGGUACUCAUCUGGCCCACUGUGUUCCCUCUGCCCUACCUCCACACUAUGGAGCCCCCAUCUGACCCAGCAACCCAGCUGGCUGAGAGGCAGCAGCAGACAGUUGUGCAGCUUCUUGGAGGCAGGGGCCUGAGAGGCAGCGCUAGGUCAGGACUCAGCCGUGGGAGGAGACCAAACCCAUGUCUGGCUUCCUAGGAAAAAGCCCCUGGGACCAUGGGACCAUUUCUUCCCUGGUGUAGAAAGAGUAGCCUCAGAAUCUGGGUCUGGUGUGAGCAGGAGUGAGCCAGCACCCCCAGCCCUGUCUGAAGCUGUGUUCCCAAGCAGGAGAAGAGAGCCCAGAGUUGUUGCUAGGCUGCUUUGGGUAUGGAACCUGUGGGACCUGCAGGGAUGGAGCCAUUGGCCUUGGUUUUACCCACAGUGUGUGUCUUUACUGGUCACAAGUAAGGAGCAGGCAGGGUGCACUGUGCCCCUGGCACACCUGGCUCUUGGGUCAUGGUGUCCUGAGGCUUCCUCUCUGUGUUGGAUAGCCAGGCUCAGUGCUCCUAAGAGCCUGAGCCAUUGACAGCAAAGACAAGGUCCCUCGUAAGGUAUGUCCUGGCAGCCUGCACCUAUGUUUAGAAGCUGGUGAAAGGUCCAGGAAAACAGCCUUCCUGGUGCCCAAGGUUCUCAGUCUUGGCUGUUCUUGUUAGUCUGUCUACUGGCAUAGUGACGCUGAGGCUUGUGGAGCAUGACUGCUGUACCAGGUCUAGGAUGAGCUUUUCAAAGCCCAGCCACAGCCUUUCACAUGCACACUCACAGAUAAGGACAGAGAGGACACCAAUAGCCAGGAAAUCACAUGGUGCAGCACAGGCCAAAAUGGGAGUUGUGAGCUCUGCGUCUGCUGCCUGACGGCAGGACCUUUUGCCCCUGCCCAUCCCCAGGAUAUUGCUGGGAAAGUACUUCUUUGGAGCACCUUGCAGUGGUUCCUGUGAACUAGGUGGAAUGUCUGGAAGGACCUCAGACUUAUUCUGUGCCGAGCCUUGUGGGGCCACCCCUACCACCAUCUCUUUCUCCUCUCCGGUGGUUUCUGGACCUUCAAGGGCCCCUGGCCUGUGCCCAGGGCCUGCGUCUCAGAGCCCAGAGCUGAGCCCCUUUGCCAUCUGGUUUCUCAGGAGUGCUCCAAGGCCCACAGAUCCCUGACAGACCCCAGUGUUUCCAGAACCUGCCCAGGGUUCCCCUGCCAGUUAGAAUUCGAGCCAGAACUUCUUAGAGCCAAUCCUUCCAGCUUCCAAGUCAGAGUCUGAGAUGAGCCAGAGGAAGCCCACCCAGGAGCCCUGAGUCCCAGUGAUCGUCAGAAGCCCACCCCAUACCCAGUCACUCCUAGAGACUCUCUGGCUGGGCUCAUACUGGGCACUUGGUGUCCUUGCAAGAGGAGCUGGCUCCUUCCUCCUCAGAGGAAAUGAAGGAUGCAGGGGGUUCAUUAAGCAGGGUGCUCAGCUGUCCCUGUGGGCAGCAGGCUGAGAUCCUGUGUCCGAAGCUGAGACCACCUCCUGGCUGGUCCCAGCCUCUUAGAGCAGGCUAGGAAGCAGGUGUAGGACAUAGUUGUUCUUCUCCCAGGACCUCUGUGUUCCUACAUAGACACAGGUCAGGGGCCAUGGCCAGUUUUGGGGUGCUGAGGGUCUGACACAGCUCCUCAGGGUCUGUGUUGUAUCAAUAUAGGGGCAGUGGAGGGCAGUGGGGCCUUCUGAUGGGGGCAUGGGAAGGAGGCCAGGCCAGAGACUGCCCAGCUUUUGUCUGCUUACAGAGCAAGGGAGGGUAAGUCCCAAAGCCAGGUUCUCAGGAGGGCUUCCUGGGGCAGCUCUUGACCAAGCCGGGGAGGAGGAGAAAGGGUACUCCUGGCUGGGGAGGCUCCUGGCAGUGGCACGGAGUCAAGCUGCCCUGCUCUUCUAGAGGUGCUGGGGAGGUGUAUCCGUGGCAGUGGAGGAGGUGGUGCUGUGUGUUAAGGGCUUGGCCCAGGAGCACGUGGCAUCCUGUAGGUGCCCUGGGCAAGUGGGGCUGAUUCCAGGGGAGGCAGCACUCUGGAGGGUGGGGCCUGAGCCAUAGCCCCCAACCCCUAGGCUCUCCCAGCUCCAACCCUGAGGUGCUCUCCCAGCCAUCAGAACUGGAUCUCCAAGACCUAGAGGAAGUGGAGAUCGGCAGAGACACCUGGCUUGGUGAGUGAGGACCACUGCCCACCCUACCCCGGCACACUGAGCACGUUUCCCAUUGCCCUGGAGCUCCUGAGCACCAGGCUCUGGGUAUUCCCACUGCUGUGGCUGGCGGCUGCUAUCUGAGGUUGGGCAGCUGCUUCCAGGGAGUUGGGCUACAGUACAGUUGUCACUGAGGCCACCGCCACCCCAUGGAGCUCUCUGAGCAGGUAUGAGCUCAUUGGAUCUUACCCGUCUGGCAUGGCAGGCUUCAAGAGAGGCUUGUUUCUUGUCCCUCAGUACUUGAGCCCAAAGGAUCAAAGUUCCAGAUCCUUGCCAGUCCUUAAUGUCAACCCUUGGGCCACCUCCUCCCAGCUCAGAGUAGACAUGCAGG
rnacentral:lncRNA from 1 species